AGUGAACGCUGGCGGUAGGCCUAACACAUGCAAGUCGAACGGCAGCACAGUAAGAGCUUGCUCUUACGGGUGGCGAGUGGCGGACGGGUGAGGUAUACAUCGGAAUCUACUUUUUCGUGGGGGAUAACGUAGGGAAACUUACGCUAAUACCGCAUACGACCUACGGGUGAAAGCAGGGGAUCUUCGGACCUUGCGCGAUUGAAUGCGCCGAUGUCGGAUUAGCUAGUUGGCGGGGUAAAGGCCCACCAAGGCGACGAUCCGUAGCUGGUCUGAGAGGAUGAUCAGCCACACUGGAGCUGAGACACGGUCCAGACUCCUACGGGAGGCAGCAGUGGGGAAUAUUGGACAAUGGGCGCAAGCCUGAUCCAGCCAUACCGCGUGGGUGAAGAAGGCCUUCGGGUUGUAAAGCCCUUUUGUUGGGAAAGAAAAGCAGCAGGUUAAUACCCCGCUGUUCUGACGGUACCCAAAGAAUAAGCACCGGCUAACUUCGUG
rnacentral:rRNA from 1 species